AUUGAACGCUGGCGGCAUGCCUUACACAUGCAAGUCGAACGGCAGCACGGACUUCGGUCUGGUGGCGAGUGGCGAACGGGUGAGUAAUGCAUCGGAACGUACCCGGUAGUGGGGGAUAACUACCCGAAAGGGUGGCUAAUACCGCAUAUACUGUGCGCAGGAAAGCAGGGGACCUUCGGGCCUUGUGCUACCGGAGCGGCCGAUGUCAGAUUAGGUAGUUGGUGGGGUAACGGCCUACCAAGCCUGCGAUCUGUAGCGGGUCUGAGAGGAUGAUCCGCCACACUGGGACUGAGACACGGCCCAGACUCCUACGGGAGGCAGCAGUGGGGAAUUUUGGACAAUGGGCGCAAGCCUGAUCCAGCCAUGCCGCGUGAGUGAAGAAGGCCUUCGGGUUGUAAAGCUCUUUCGGACGGAAGAAAUCGCGCAGGCUAAUACCCUGCGCGGAUGACGGUACCGUCAUAAGAAGCACCGGCUAACUACGUGCCAGCCGCCGCCGUAA
rnacentral:rRNA from 1 species